AGGACGAACGCUGGCGGCGUGCUUAACACAUGCAAGUCACGGGGGGUAGCAAUACCAACCGGCGAACGGGUGCGUAACACGUGACCAACCUGCCCUCGUGUGGGGGAUAGCCGGGCUAACGCCCGGGUAAUACCGCAUACGGUCCCUGAGAGGAGUCUCUUGGGGAAGAAAGCUCUGGCGCACGGGGAGGGGGUCGCGGCCUAUCAGCUAGUUGGCGGGGUAACGGCCCACCAAGGCGACGACGGGUAGCU
rnacentral:rRNA from 1 species